UACGUAGGGGGCAAGCGUUGUCCGGAAUCAUUGGGCGUAAAGCGCGUGUAGGCGGCUUGGUAAGUCCGCUCUGAAAGCCCGGGGCUCAACCCCGGGAGGCGGGUGGAUACUGUCAAGCUCGAGUCCGGAAGAGGCGAGUGGAAUUCCUGGUGUAGCGGUGAAAUGCGCAGAUAUCAGGAGGAAUACCAAUGGCGAAGGCAGCUCGCUGGGACGUGACUGACGCUGAGACGCGAAAGCGUGGGGAGCGAACAGG
rnacentral:rRNA from 1 species